rnacentral:lncRNA from 13 species
GCGAAAGAGGGAGGGUGAACAGAAAUAUUGCUUUAUUCUGAAAAAAAAUGGGUAUUAAUAAUGGCCAAUCAAUGUUUCAUUUAAACCUAUGAGUAGGUGUGAUGUGGUAUUGACAAGAAUGUAUAUUUUGUGUAUUUGAAGUGGAGAGCUCUAUAAAUAUUUAUUAAGUUUACUUGUUCCAGAUCUGAGUUCGAGUCCUUGAUAUCAUUAUUAAUUUUCUGUCUCAUUGAAUCUAAGUCUCUAUGUAUCUGGGUGUUAGGAUUGUUAGCUCUUGCUGUUGCAUUGAUCCUAUUACCACUAUAUCUUUGUUGCUUUAAAAUCUAUUUUAUCCGAUAGGAGAAUUGCAACUCCUGCUUUUUAUUUAUUUAUUUUUGCUCUCCAUUUGGUUGGUAAAUCUUUCUCCAUCCCUUUGUUUUGGGUCUUUGUGUAUCCUUGCAUGUGAAACAGGUCUGGAUGUAACAUGCCGUUGAGUUUUGACUGUGUCUUUUGAUUGGGGGAUUUAGUCGAUUUAAAUUUAGGGUUACUGCCAUUUGAUGUUAACUGGCUGUUUUUGUUUUUAUUUUUGAGAUGGAGUUUCGCUCUUGUUACCCAGGCUGGAGUGCAAUGGCGCAAUCUCGGCUCACCGCAACCUCCGCCUCCUGGGUUCAGGCAAUUCUCCUGCCUCAGCCUCCUGAGUAGCUGGGAUUACAGGCACGUGCCACCAUGCCCAGCUAAUUUUUUGUAUUUUCAGUAGAGACAGGGUUUCACCAUGUUCACCAGGAUGGUCUCGAUCUCUCGACCUCGUGAUCCACCUGCCUCGGCCUCCCAAAGUGCUGGGAUUACAGGUGUGCACCACCAUGCCUGGCUAAAUUUUUGUAUUUUUGGUAGAGACAGGGUUUUACCAUGUUGGCCAGGCUGAUCUCCAAGUCCUGAGCUCAGGCAAUCCGCCCUCCUCAGCCUCUGAAAGUCCUGGGAUUACAGGCAUGAGCCACUUUGCCUCACCAGAAAAUAUGGUUCUUACCAUAAGCCAAAUUAGUCUCCAACUUUUUCUCUUUUCCCCUUCCUCCACUUUCCCCUUCCUUCCUCCACUUUCCCCUUCCUUCCUCCAGCUAUCUCUCUAGUUAAUCCAGCUAAGAACACAGGUGCCAGGUGAAAGAUGCCUGAAAGGUGACUGCCUUGUAGAUGAUUUAAGCUCUGGGGUUGCCUUAAGGAAAGUGGUAGCCAGAAAGAGGAACUAUAUCUCAGAGGCAGGAGUGGGAGGGAAGAGCCAGGGAGCCUGUCUGGAACCCUGAUACUGUGCAAUGGCCAGCCUUCCACUCCCCUAAAAUCUUGCUUAGCCAUAGAGCCUCAGAUUACCCAAGCAGGCAGGUAUCUUUAACUAGUUCAGUUCUGCCAUAUUGGGGUCCAUGUGGAGGCCUUAAAAAUCUUCAUAACUCUAUGGAUCCCCAUCCCAGAAAAAUACACAAAUGCUCACAAAAAAGAGAUCAUUGAUGUCAACAAUGAAGAGAUCAAGAAUGUCACUUCAUUGACAUCCUUGAGCUUACUCAUGAAGCCAAAGCUCUAAGAACCUCUGAUCUAACACAUUCUUCCUCCACUAUUUCUCCUGAGGACAAAACAGAUCAGCAAGGGUUAUUGCUUUGUUCCACCUUGUGCAGCUGUUUAGAGGGAGUCCAAAACCAAAGUGCAAAUUCUGAUACUCUUGUUCUUUCUAUUAUAGAGUGCGUUUGUUUCCAUAAAUUAAAACAACUUCUCCCCUUGAAGAAGCAGGCUAAGAAGAGGUUGCUUUU